GCCCACACAAACUCCUCAGCCUCAGCCAGGCAGGGCUCCCACCAAGUCCCACCUUUUAUUUCCUUUCUAGCAGGCCAGAGACAAGACAAUCCAGGCACUGUGAAUUUCAGGGCUCCAUUCAGGUCCUGGAAUACCACAAUGAGGUCACCCCAAAGCUUCUCCAGGCUGAAGGAUCCCAAUUCUCUCAUCCUUCCCUCACAGCAGAGGUGUUCCAUCCCUCUAAUUUUCAUGUCCAUGGUAGGACCAAGGCUUUCUGCAUCACCUUCAGUCACCCAAGAGGGAAAAGCUCUUCCCAGUGGAGACCAUGCCCGAAUUCUGCUCUCACUGUGCACAACACUCACACCAUGAGCUGAAGUGCAUUCUGAUUGUGCAGCUUCCCAAACCAGACAUGCAUUUUAUCCAGCAGAUUCAGGUUAGAAGCAAAUAUUUCCCAAUAUAUACAGAGCCUGCCUAGCUUUGUUCAGCACUGCAGCACGGCUCUUCCCUCCCUAAUGCUUAGUUUCAAACACAGCCACUGUAAAACACAUUAGGGUUAGGAGGGGAUGAUCUUCACGGUCCUUUCCAACUGAAACCAUUCCAUGGUUCACCAGAGCCAGGUGUAACUCUUGGACACCAAAUGCUCCCACCCCACGCUGUUCCCUGAGGAAUCAGCACACCAUGAAGUACCACAGUGUUUGGGAACAUGGAGGACACACUCCCAGGCAAAAAACCUGCAGGAAGAAACCUCCCUUUUAAUUAAGCCUGUCUGACUCCUUAAAUCAUUUGAAUAAAAAUGCGUUCUGCUUUGAGGGAGCACCUGA